UUCGACUUUAACGGGAAGCUUUGCUGUUUAUGGCGGUUCUUCACCGAUUUACUGGAUUGCCAGGGUCCGAAGUUAAAGCAAAUCUCCUGUUUUGCUGUUUGCUAGAUUGAAGAAGAAUUUAACUUCUGUCGGCAGAUGUGAUUUUAAAUAUGAUUGUUUCGUAGUGGUAGUGACCUUUUGGUAUGAUGAAAUGAUCGUGUUUUGAAGGUUAGCUACUGGAUCACUGAGAAGUGCGGGCGAAUAAAGUCUCAAAGGGUCGUCUUUAAUUUUUCCGUCUAGAAGAGCUUUAUAAAAGUUUUCCAACUGGUGAAUUUACGUAAUAAAGGCGGAGAGCCAACUUCUAGGGAGCUUAUUUUAAGAACUGCAGGUGAGUAAUCUAAGGAGAGCUCAUAUAGAAUCUUCUGUUUAACUGCGAGACAAAUAUUUUUUAUAAUUGCAAUGUCUAAUUUCAUCAGCAGUACCUCACUUAGGAAUGACUGUAGGGUUGGUUGGACCCAAAGCAAUAACCCCUUACUGUUGAUAAUUUCUCCAUUAGGAGUCCCCAUUCUGUAAUCCCAUAAUGAAUUUUUGCAGUUCAGAUCGCCACAAAGAGUUACGGAACUAUGAUAGCUCAUAACGAGUGAGCAAGGUGUCUUCUGACCAAUACUACUACACCUCCUUUUUAAGAGUCAAUUUAGUCUUUCGGCAUAUUAUGUAGUUGGGCAAUUUAAAGAAAUCUCCGGGU